ACGGGUGAGUAACGCGUGGGUAAUCUACUUUAAAAAGGGAAUAACCUCGCGAAAGCGGGGCUAAUACCCUAUAAAGCUUCAAUUCUCUUGGGGACUGAAGCCAAAGGUGGGGAUCUUUGGACCUGCUGCUUAAAGAUGAGCCCGCGUACCAUUAGCUUGUUGGUAGGGUAAUGGCCUACCAAGGCAACGAUGGUUAGCUGGUCUGAGAGGAUGGCCAGCCACACUGGAACUGAAACACGGUCCAGACUCCUACGGGAGGCAGCAGUGAGGAAUUUUGCGCAAUGGGGGAAACCCUGACGCAGCAACGCCGCGUGAGUGAUGAAGGCUUUCGGGUCGUAAAGCUCUUGUCAGAUGGGAAGAAACUCUCAGAAGUGAAUAACUUUAGGGUCUGACGGUACCAUCAGAGGAAGCACCGGCUAACUCCGGUGCCAGCAGCCGCGGUAAGACGGAGGGUGCAAGCGUUGUUCGGAAUUAUUGGGCGUAAAGGGCGUGUAAAGCGGUCAGAUAAGUCAGAUGUGAAAUCCCUGGGCUCAACCCAGGAAGUGCAUCUGAAACUAUUUGACUUGAGUACGGGAGAGGGAAGUGGAAUUCCUGGUGUAGGGGUGAAAUCCGUAGAUAUCAGGAGGAACACCGGUGGCGAAGGCGACUUCCUGGACCGAUACUGACGCUGAUACGCGAAAGCAUGGGGAGCAAACAGGAUUAGAUACCCUGGAUAGUCCAUGCCGUAAACGUUGGGCACUAUGGUGUAGCGGGUAUUGACCCCUGAUGUGCCGAAGCUAACGCAUUAAGUGCCCCGCCUGGGGAGUACGGCCGCAAGGUUGAGACUCAAAGGAAUUGACGGGGGCCCGCACAAGCGGUGGAGCAUGUGGUUUAAUUCGACGCAACGCGAAGAACCUUACCUGGGUUCGACAUCCUUGGAACCCCGCUGAAAGGUGGGGGUGCCCGCAAGGGAGCCAAGUGACAGGUGCUGCAUGGCUGUCGUCAGCUCGUGUCGUGAGAUGUUGGGUUAAGUCCCGCAACGAGCGCAACCCUUGUCUCUAGUUGCCAUCAUUAGGUUGGGCACUAUAGAGAGACUGCCCCGGUCAACGAGGAGGAAGGUGGGGAUGACGUCAAGUCCUCAUGGCCUUUAUACCCAGGGCUACACACGUGCUACAAUGGGCGAUACAAAGGGCUGCGACACCGCAAGGUGAAGCCAAUCCCAAAAAAUCGCUCUCAGUUCGGAUCGAAGUCUGCAACUCGACUUCGUGAAGGCGGAAUCGCUAGUAAUCGUGGAUCAGCAUGCCACGGUGAAUACGUUCCCGGGCCUUGUACACACCGCCCGUCACACCACGAAAGUCAACUGUACCAGAAGUUGCU
rnacentral:rRNA from 1 species